CUGGGUGGAUCAGUGGCGAACGGGUGAGUAACACGUGAGCAACCUGCCCCUGACUCUGGGAUAAGCGCUGGAAACGGCGUCUAAUACUGGAUACGAGCCACGACCGCAUGGUCAGUGGUUGGAAAGAUUUUUCGGUUGGGGAUGGGCUCGCGGCCUAUCAGCUUGUUGGUGAGGUAAUGGCUCACCAAGGCGUCGACGGGUAGCCGGCCUGAGAGGGUGACCGGCCACACUGGGACUGAGACACGGCCCAGACUCCUACGGGAGGCAGCAGUGGGGAAUAUUGCACAAUGGGCGGAAGCCUGAUGCAGCAACGCCGCGUGAGGGAUGACGGCCUUCGGGUUGUAAACCUCUUUUAGCAGGGAAGAAGCGAAAGUGACGGUACCUGCAGAAAAAGCGCCGGCUAACUACGUGCCAGCAGCCGCGGUAAUACGUAGGGCGCAAGCGUUAUCCGGAAUUAUUGGGCGUAAAGAGCUCGUAGGCGGUUUGUCGCGUCUGCUGUGAAAUCUGGGGGCUCAACCCCCAGCCUGCAGUGGGUACGGGCAGACUAGAGUGCGGUAGGGGAGAUUGGAAUUCCUGGUGUAGCGGUGGAAUGCGCAGAUAUCAGGAGGAACACCGAUGGCGAAGGCAGAUCUCUGGGCCGUAACUGACGCUGAGGAGCGAAAGGGUGGGGAGCAAACAGGCUUAGAUACCCUGGUAGUCCACCCCGUAAACGUUGGGAACUAGUUGUGGGGUCCAUUC
rnacentral:rRNA from 1 species